rnacentral:lncRNA from 1 species
NNNNNNNNNNNNNNNNNNNNNNNNNNNNNNNNNNNNNNNNNNNNNNNNNCUGGCCAUCUGCUACAUCUCCUACCUGAACCACAUCCUGAAUGUGUGACCCGUCCAUGUGUCCAUCUGUCCAUCCCUGUGUCCAUCUCCAUGUCCGUCUGUCCAUCCCUGUGUCGAUCUGUCCGUCCGUCCAUCCGUGUGCCCACCCUGCCCCCCACCCCCAGCCCCGCUCCCGGGGCUUUGGAGCAGCAAUUCCAGAGGAACUGGAGCAGCAAUUCCGGAGGGAUGGAGGAGCCAAUCCCGGAGAUUUGGCACUGCAAAUCCCGAAAGGUUGGAGCAGCAAAACCCUGAAAUUUGGAAGAGCUAAUCCCAGAAGGUGGAGCCGCAAUUCCCAAGGGUUUGGAGCUGCAAUUCCUGAGGAACUGGAGCAGCAAUUCCCAAAGGGAUGGAGCCACAAAUCCCUGAGAGCUGGGACAGCAAAUCCCAAAAGGUUGGAGCAGCAAAAACCAGAGGAACUGGAGCAGAAUUCCCAUAGAACUGGAGCUGGAAUUCCCAGAGGAAUUGAAGCAGGAAUUCCCGGGCCUGGCUCCCCCUUUUCUCCCCUUCCCUUCCCCCUGUCCCUGUGCCAUGAGGAUAUUUAUGGAAUCAAUUAUUUAUUGAGAAUUAUUAUUAUUUAUUUAUUACUAUCAUUAUUUAAUAUUAAUAUUAUUAUUAACUUAUCCACUGUGUCCUUGUGCACUUUUGGGGGGAGAAAGAAAAGGCCCUGUGCCCAUUCCCAAAUCCCCUUUAGGUUUUCCCCAUUCCCAAAUCCUUUUAGGAUCAGUUUUCCCCAUUCCCAAACCCUUUUAGGUUUUCACAUUCCCAAACCCUUUAGGAUCAAUUUUUCCUAUUCCCAAUCCCUUUUAGGUUUUCACUAUUCCCAAACCCUUUUAGGUUUUGCCCAUUCCCAAACCCCUUUAGGAUCAGUUUUUCCUAUUCCCAAACCUUUUUAGGUUUUCCCCAAUCCCCUUUAGGGCCGUUUUUCCCAUCCUGCAGAUCCCAAACCCCUUUGGGGCCCCGGCCCCAUCUGGCCCCAUUGUCCCGCUCACAAUGGGAACUCUCGGCUCUCAUUGAGAUUCCGGCCCGACAGAUUGGGAAUUCCGGCCCUUUGUCCUGGCCU